rnacentral:lncRNA from 1 species
AAGAGACCCAUACUGCAAGGCCACAUUGUGGACUAUGUAACUUCAGCUAAUUUCUUGGAAAUCAAUCAAAGCAUAUGGACUAUAUUUUAAUUCUACAGACAUUGCGUUAGGCAGAACAGCUACCAACACCCAAUCCCUGAAAUUUGUGAUUAUGUUUUGAUACAUGGCAAAAGGAACUAUGCAGAUGUAAUUAAGGUUAAGAACUUUAAAAUAGGAAGAUUAAAUCCAAGGAGUUCUUCAAAGUAAAGAACUACUACAUGCAGAAGAUUGGGAAGAAAUAACAGAGAGUGCUUGAAGAAUAGAUGUGGCUAGGACAAUAUCUCUGAAUCUCUGAAUGGCCCAUGGUGGUGACCCCCAGCCAGAGUGAACUGUGCAGCAGCAAUGGUGCCCAGUGGGCAGCAACAGUGGAACAGAAGAGACGGGGUCUCACUAUGUUGCCCAUCCUGGUCUUGAACUACUGGGCUUAAGUGAUCUUCCUGACUCAGCCUCCUAAAGUGCUGAGAUUACAGUUGUGAGCCACCAUGCCUAGCCUCAUAAACCACAGUGGAAAGGAGGCCACUUUGUAUUAAAAAUAACAAUAUUUCAUAGGAAAUUCUCUUAAAUUCAUCAAGGGAUCCAGUGGCUGUGCAUAACCUUUUCUAGCUUCAACCCAUCGAACAUGAAUGCCAUGUGUUGAGGAUGCAGAAACAAUCAAGACAGACAAGGUUCUAGCCACCCUUGAGCUAUAACCAAGUUGGAGAAAAAAGUCAGCAUGCAAGUAAACAAUAAUCAUUCAAGCUAUAUAGGUUGUGCCUCAUGAAACAAAAGGACUUUGUAUGUGAGAGAGUAAUGGAAACCAGGCACAGCUUUUAAGAGAUGAUGUCUAGAAUGGGACCUAAAGAAGAAGGAGCUCUCCAUGCAAAAAUAUAAGAAAAGCCCAUUCUAAGCGAGAGACAUCAGGAAGGACAAAGGAACCGAGGCAGGAAAGAGUUUGGUGUCUUUUAGGAAUAGAUGAGAAUCCAAUCUUGGGCUAAUGAAGCAACACAAGAUUCGCAACAGCAGGGAGUUGCUACUAUCUUUAGCUUGAAGGAGAAAAAGGAGGAGGUUGUAUUACCAGAGCCCAGGGGUGGAGUGACCCAGCAUAACAUAGAAUCUUAGUUGGUAUAUUCAAGAGAAGUUGGAUCCAAAGAAGAGAUACAGCCAUUAUUAGAGAUGCUGCCCCAGAGGGAGAAGGAGAGAUACCUUGAAAAUUUCCCUUAAUCCCUCCAUUCGUUAUAUCACCAAUGACUUCCAGUGACUGAACCAAAUCAGAUGCCAGAUGACACAAUAGCCUAGCAAAUGCAGUCUAAGAAUUCAAUCUCCAACACACCCAGUAGAAAGAGCAAAGGGUAAGAAAUUGACUUGAGAGCAAGUUGGCUCAGAACAGUAGACCCUUAAAUUCAUUAAGGGUCAACUACUUUAAUACUUUGGGAAAAUAAUCCCACUAUGCAGGGAAAGAGGAUGAAUUUUAAAAUGUCAUAUUUUAGGUAUAUAAAGAAAAAUCCUGCCUGACCCUGAUAUAAAGAAAUGAAGAUAUUAGAAAAAAGUGUUGGCUCUACAUGUCCAGGUACUACUGAUCACGACAGCACUUACAGGCUCUAAAUGGUUAACUUCCUGAAAAGUGGCUGUUAUAUGGAAAACCAUAAAACAAUCAUUGGUGAUCCUUGUUUCUAUUUAAAAAAACAUGCUCUUAGGUUCAAGUAGACUGACCCACUUUAGGACUAUCUAUCCCUAGGGAUCUUGUAAAAUGCAGAGAAUGAGAAAAACCUUUAGAAGAUGCUAAACUCUCCGCUUUUAAGCUAACUAGCAUGUUGAACAAUUUAUUUGUACAAUAUGAGAUAUGACCAUAUUGCAUCUCAUCUUAUGGAAUUACUCAAGUUAUAUACAAUUUUCUCAAGUGCUAUUGCUAGUCUGGAUGUAGGAGUGAAGAGAAUAAAUUGAGGGCUUGAUCUAUGUUUGGGGUUUUCAGAGAAGACAUAGAAAUGAAAGAAGAACAGAUUGGUUGAGAAUAUAAUCAAGUGAUUAUGGGUUCUGUAUUGAGCAGAUAAUUUAGUCCAAGAAGAUGCUUAUAGUUAUGAAAGAAAAUUCAGGAUCAAGUACAUGAGGUCUAUAGAAGGUCAAACAGUAGUUAAGAAGGAGUGAAGAAGUGUGAGAGCUAAAGGAUGUAAAGUAGAAGUCAGAAAGUGAGGGCAAUGAGGCAUUCUAGUGCAUGAAUGUGACAGGGAGCAGCUGAAGAGAAUGGAAGUGAUAGUUCUAGUUCAACGGUUCCAGGAACUGCCAUGUUAGGGAGUUAGAAAGUUGCCCACAUGGAUUUGAAAUUUGUCCUUAAUUUAUUCAUCAAAUGUAGUUAGUGCUAUUAUGUCUAUUGUUCAACGUUGCUGAGUAACAAACAACCUCAAAAAUCCUAUCGGCUUCCAAUAACAUUGUGUCUCGUGCUUAUCAGACUGUGGUUUGACUAUUUUCAGUUGAUCUAGGCUGGACCAUGUUGCUCCACGGUGUGAGACUGGAGAACUUUGCUCCAGGAUUUCAGUCUUUUCUAUGUGUGUUUAUUUUAGAGGGCAGGCUGAUGGAGAAGAAGCUACCUGGGUAUGCUCUUCUUAUUGAGAGUGACAGUACAGGAGGCAAAAGCCUAACCACACAAGCAAAUUAAAACCUCAACUCACUUCAUAGCUGCUAAAAUUUCGUUGGCCAAAACAAUUCAUGUUUUAUUAAAAUAAACUGAAAACUGAAAUUAAUAAGAGGUUUUUCUUUUCUAAUGAGUUGUAUUAUAAAAUCAUACGGCAAAAUCUUUGGUUAAGACAGAGUAAAUAUUUCAAAUGAAGAUGCAAUAAGAAUGAAGACAAAUGCUGUAAAUCAUGUGCUUCAGUGGACUUUGAGACUCUUGGCAAGUGAAUGGAAGUCAACAGAGAUCAGCAACAAGAGAGAUAGAAUAGACAGAACUAGGGACUAAUGUUCAAAAAAAACCAUGAUCCUCUCCAUGCCCCUACACAGAAGACCUUAGAAGAAUAACAGUCUGGAUAGGGCAUAAGGCAGUGAAAAACAGAAACUACCCUCCCCCAAUCCUCACAAACCAUAAAUAGCAGGUUGUGGGGGCAUACUGAUAAUUACUAGUCAUUAGAAGCUAACUGUGGAACACACACUGUAAGAAGACAAAACAUAUUUUAUCAAACACAGUUAUGAAGAAAAAACAUGGUGGCUCCUGACAAAGUAGGCACAUCCCUCUUUCACGGUUUAAUGAUCAAUUACUCAGUUGAAGUUUUGGUCUCUGAGGAUAUCAGAGUAAGUGUGAUUGAUUGGGAUUUUAUAGAACUUGUCAUUAAUAAACCCUAGGUGUUGGAGGCAGGAAAAACGCCCAUAGCCUGGUUAAUUAUCAUGGAAGUACUUCGGAUUUUUGUCUUGGAGGGAGUAAGAACAGAAUAAGGACAUUUCUGAAAUCAAUAAGCAAUUGUUUAUGUGACCGGUAUGGUUCUAGCAAUAUGGGGAAUACAGAAGGCUUGUAAGACAAAGCAAUCAUUUUCACAGGGUAAAAUUAACCACAAUAUUAAUGCUACCUGAUUGUAGGCUGAACUGGAAAAGUCUGAAUAAUUUAUAUAUUGAGGUGCAGGCAAAAUGCCAUUGGAGGAUACAUUUAACAACCUUCCAAAUACAUAGAACAAUUGCCAUUUCUAAGU